rnacentral:rRNA from 1 species
UGGUUCGUUCAUACCUAGGCUAUUGCGCCGGAUCCCAUCAGACCUCCGAAGCUAAACGCCUAUGGGCAAGAAUAGUACUGGGAUGGGUGACC